rnacentral:rRNA from 1 species
UACGACUACAUAUCAGGCAUAUCAAUAAGCGGAGGAAAAGAAACUAACAAGGAUUCCCUUAGUAACGGCGAGUGAAGCGGGAAGAGCUCAAAUUUGAAAUCUUCAAGGUUCUACCUUGACGAAUUGUAGUUUAAAGAAGUGUUUUCUGUUAGAUGAGUAGCAAAAGUUCCUUGGAAUGGGACAUCAUAGAGGGUGAGAAUCCCGUAUUUGGUUAUUCAUUCUAGCUUUGUGAUACACUUUCAAAGAGUCGGAUUGUUUGGGAAUGCAGUCCAAAAUGGGUGGUAAAUUUCAUCUAAAGCUAAAUAUUGGCGAGAGACCGAUAGCGAACAAGUACCGUGAGGGAAAGAUGAAAAGAACUUUGAAAAGAGAGUUAAACAGUACGUGAAAUUGUCAAAAGGGAAGCGUUUGACACCAGUGUUGUUUUUCCGAAAAAUCAAUUACGAAUGGCUUGAUUUUGUGUUGUAUUGACCUUAUCAGCUUUCUGCACUUUUUUCGAGUCUUUCUUAAUGCACUUUUCGGUUAACAAGUCAACAUCAAUUUCUUUUGUUGUAAAAGAGUAUCCGGAAGGUGGCUUUCUUUUCGGAGAAAGUGUUUAUAGCCCUAUACUUCUACAAUCGGAGAGAUUGAGGUCUGCAGCGUAGAUCCUUCGGGGUUAGAUACACUUUGUGCUAAGUUGUAGCUUUUCAUAGACAACUUGUUGACUAUGUUUAGUCAUGCGGCUUACUCGCUUAUGCUAUUUUACCUACGCUUAGGAUGUUGAGUAGCGACAUACGCAC